UACGAAGGGGGGCUAGCGUUGCUCGGAAUCACUGGGCGUAAAGCGCACGUAGGCGGAUCUUUUAAGUCAGGGGGUGAAAUCCCAAGGCUCAACCUUGGAACUGCCUUUGAUACUGGGGAUCUCGAGUCCGGAAGAGGUUGGUGGAACUGCGAGUGUAGAGGUGAAAUUCGUAGAUAUUCGCAAGAACACCAGUGGCGAAGGCGGCCAACUGGUCCGGUACUGACGCUGAGGUGCGAAAGCGUGGGGAGCAAACAGG
rnacentral:rRNA from 1 species